rnacentral:rRNA from 1 species
GACGAACGCUGGCGGCGUGCUUAACACAUGCAAGUCGAACGGAAAGGCCCUGCUUGCAGGGUACUCGAGUGGCGAACGGGUGAGUAACACGUGGGUGAUCUGCCCUGCACUUCGGGAUAAGCCUGGGAAACUGGGUCUAAUACCGGAUAGGAGCCAUUUUUAGUGUGAUGGUUGGAAAGUUUUUUCGGUGUAGGAUGAGCUCGCGGCCUAUCAGCUUGUUGGUGGGGUAAUGGCCUACCCGGGCGGCGACGGGUAGCCGGCCUGAGAGGGUGGACGGCCACAUUGGGACUGCGAUACGGCCCAGACGCCUACGGGUGGCAGCAGUGGGGAAUAUUGCACAAUGGGCGCCAGCCUGAUGCAGCGACGCCGCGUGUGGGAUGACGGCCUUCGGGUUGUAAACUCCUUUCGCUAGGGACGAAGCUUUUUGUGACGGUACCUAGAUAAGAAGCACCGGCUAACUACGUG